UACGUAGGGUGCGAGCGUUGUCCGGAUUUAUUGGGCGUAAAGAGCGUGUAGGCGGCCGCACAGGUCCGUUGUGAAAACUGGAGGCUUAACCUUCAGACGUCGAUGGAAACCGUGCGGCUAGAGUCCGGAAGAGGAGAGUGGAAUUCCUGGUGUAGCGGUGAAAUGCGCAGAUAUCAGGAAGAACACCCGUGGCGAAGGCGGCUCUCUGGGACGGUACUGACGCUGAGACGCGAAAGCGUGGGGAGCGAACAGG
rnacentral:rRNA from 1 species